rnacentral:rRNA from 1 species
UGAGGAAUAUUGGGCAAUGGGCGCAAGCCUGACCCAGCGACGCCGCGUGUGGGAUGACAGGGCUAUGCCUUGUAAACCACUGUCGGGUGGGACGAAAAGCGAGCUACGGCUCGCCGGGACGGUACCACCAAAGGAAGGGUCGGCUAACUACGUGCCAGCAGCCGCGGUAAUACGUAGGACCCAAGCGUUAUCCGGAUUCACUGGGUGUAAAGGGUGUGUAGGCGGGCGUGCGCGUCCGGGGUGAAAGGUUCCGGCUCAACCGGAAACAUGCCUUGGAUACGGCACGUCUUGAGUGCGGGAGAGGACGGUGGAAUUCCUGGUGUAGCGGUGAAAUGCGUAGAUAUCAGGAGGAACACCAGUGGCGAAGGCGGCCGUCUGGCCCGCAACUGACGCUGAAACACGAAAGCGUGGGGAUCAAACAGGAUUAGAUACCCUGGUAGUCCACGCCCUAAACGAUGCAUGCUUGGUGUCGGCGCCUUGUGCGUCGGUGCCGUAGGUAACCCAGUAAGCAUGCCACCUGGGAAGUACGGUCGCAAGGCUG